CAUAUAUUUCCUGCUAAGGAAACAGCUUAUGUAAAGUCACAGAGGCAGAAGGUGAUAGGUACAAACAUCUAGAACAUUGUUGAAGUUUAGGAAGUAUUGUGGACCAUGCUCCAAAGAAUGAUUGAAGCCAGGUAAGAAAACAUCAUUAAUGUCAGGAUGAUUAUCUUGAAUGCCUGAUUUAAUUGGUGAUGUCAAACCUUCAUGGUUUUGAGAGUGGACGGCAAAAACGAUCCCAUCUUUCCUGUAGGAAUAUUGAACAAUGCGUAAAAUGCAUUGAAAUGGAAGAAGAGUUCACAUUGAAGAACCACUGGAAGAAUUACCUCCAGUUUCCUAGGGUGGGAAUCAUAUUAUUGUUUCUCUCAACAGUGGCAACAAUGGAAAUGCCAUGGUCUCUGUCACUCAGGCUGGAUGCAGCAGCACAAUCAUAGAUCACUGCACUAUCAACUUACUGGGCUCAAGUGAUCCUUUCACCUCAGCCUCCCAGGUAGCCAGGAUUACAGGUGUGUGCCAGCACAUUCAGCUAAUUCAAAAUAAAUAU
rnacentral:lncRNA from 1 species